rnacentral:rRNA from 1 species
AACGAACGCUGGCGGCAUGCCUAACACAUGCCAGUCGAACGAGACCUUCGGGUCUAGUGGCGCACGGGGGCGUAACGCGUGGGAACCUGCCCUUAGGUUCGGAAUAACUCCCCGAAAGGGGUGCUAAUACCGGAUAAUGUCUUCGGACCAAAGAUUUAUCGCCUUUGGAUGGGCCCGCGUUGGAUUAGCUAGUUGGUAGGGUAAAAGCCUACCAAGGCGACGAUCCAUAGCUGGUCUGAGAGGAUGAUCAGCCACGCUGGGACUGAGACACGGCCCAGACUCCUACGGGAGGCAGCAGUGGGGAAUAUUGGACAAUGGGCGAAAGCCUGAUCCAGCAAUGCCGCGUGAGUGAUGAAGGCCUUAGGGUUGUAAAGCUCUUUUACCCGGGAUGAUAAUGACAGUACCGGGAGAAUAAGCGCCGGCUAACUCCGUG